CCUGGCCCUAUCAGGCCUGAACGGCGCCCGAUCUCGUCUAAUCUCGGAAGCUAAGCAGGGUCGGGCCUGGUUAGUAUCUUGGAUGGGAGACCACCUGGGAAUCCCGGGUGCUCGUAGGC
rnacentral:rRNA from 1 species